rnacentral:rRNA from 1 species
CUAACAAGGAUUCCCUUAGUAACUGCGAGUGAAGAGGGAAAAGCUCAAAUUUAAAAUCUGGCAGUGCUUCACUGUCCGAGUUGUAACCUAGAGAAGUGUAACCUGCGCUGGACCGUGUACAAGUCUCCUGGAAUGGAGCAUCACAGAGGGUGAGAAUCCCGUCUUUGACAUGGACUACCAGUGCAUUGUGGUUGUGCUCUCAACGAGUCGAGUUGUUUGGGAAUGCAGCUCUAAAUGGGUGGUAAAUUCCAUCUAAAGCUAAAUAUUGGCGAGAGACCGAUAGCGAACAAGUACCGUGAGGGAAAGAUGAAAAGAACUUUGGAAAGAGAGUUAAACAGUAUGUGAAAUUGUUGAAAGGGAAACGUUUGAAGUCAGUCGCGUUAACUGGGGAUCAGCCUGACAUUGUUGGGUGUACUUCCUGGUCGACGGGCCAACAUCAGUUUUGAUUGCCAGAAAAAGGCCAAAGGAAUGUGGCACCUUUGGGUGUGUUAUAGCCCUUGGUCGUAUAUGGUGGUUGGGACUGAGGAAAGCAGCGUGCCGAAAGGCCGGGUCGUUUCGACCACGUUCACGCUGAGGAUGUUGGCAUAAUGGCUUUAAGCGACCCGUCUUGAAACACGGACCAAGGAGUCUAACAUGCGUGCGAGUGUUUGGGUGGAAAACCCUUACGCGUAAUGAAAGUGAAAGUUGAGAUCCCUGUCGCGGGGAGCAUCGACGCCCGGACCAGAACUUUUGGGACGGAUCUGCGGUAGAGCAUGUAUGUUGGGACCCGAAAGAUGGUGAACUAUGCCUGAAUAGGGUGAAGCCAGAGGAAACUCUGGUGGAGGCUCGUAGCGAUUCUGACGUGCAAAUCGAUCGUCAAAUUUGGGUAUAGGGGCGAAAGACUAAUCG